rnacentral:rRNA from 1 species
AAUUUUGGACAAUGGGGGCAACCCUGAUCCAGCCAUCCCGCGUGUGCGAUGAAGGCCUUCGGGUUGUAAAGCACUCUUGGCAGGGAAGAAAAGGCGCCGGAUAAUACCUGGCGCCGCUGACGGUACCUGCAGAAUAAGCACCGGCUACCUUCGUUCCAGCAGCCGCGGUAAUACGUAGGGUGCAAGCGUUAAUCGGAAUUACUGGGCGUAAAGCGUGCGCAGGCGGUUCGGAAAGAAAGAUGUGAAAUCCCAGGGCUUAACCUUGGAAAUGCAUUUUUAACUGCCGGGCUAGAGUAUGUCAGAGGGGGGUAGAAUUCCACGUGUAGCAGUGAAAUGCGUAGAGAUGUGGAGGAAUACCGAUGGCGAAGGCAGCCCCCUGGGAUAAUACUGACGCUCAUGAACGAAAGCGUGGGGAGCAAACAG